rnacentral:snoRNA from 1 species
AUCAAUAAAUAAUCGUGCGGAUUAUACAAUCCAGGACUAUAAAACCGUGUUGCUUCCUAUUACGUUUUAACCGUAUUGUCAUACCAGAAGCGUCAAGUCCAUCGGAGAGAUCAUACUCGAGUUCGUCUUAAUGCCCUUUUGUGUUGAACAUUUGUGCUUCCCUUAACGUAUUCUUUAUUGAAUACGCCUAGGGUUCGCCAUUACGUACUUCGCAAGGGCUGGUGGGACUUACAUUU